rnacentral:sRNA from 1 species
GCAUUUGAAAUGAAGCCAGUCCUAUUCCACGCUGUUCCCAAAAUAACUUGUCUUCUAGAGAAAUUUAGUCAUCAACGUCUAAACACAAAUCAGGAGUCAAGGCUAAGAUUUUACCCAUCUAAAUGUACCACCUCCACGUGUAGUUCAGCAGUUAACACUUCAGACGGGAUUAGUAUGCUCUUAAAUACACAGCUGUCUCUUCCGGUGAUGAGAACGCCUGUGUCGACUAUUCUUAGAAGCUUUAAGGGACUUCUGAGUCAAUGGGGACACUAGAUUUCCCUGCAAGCUGUCUGUCAAAUCAGUACACGUCCUGGCUUCGUGACGUAUCUGAUGGAGGAGGAAGAGCAGCAGUCAGUGGGCGGAGCCGGCUUCUCACCUUAGGUAUUGGGCUUGUGGAGAAGAGGAGUUCCGAGGGUAGUGGCAGGGACAGGUAGUGUGGAGGCUGCACUGACGCCACCCAGUGGAUGAGUCUGCUUUCAGUCUAGAUCUCAAAGAGGGGGUGACCCUGCCCAGCACAUCCAUGGUAAAUGGUCCUCUUUGUGCUGUGACUGAUAGAUGUCACUCUAUCUAGUGAGUGCUCAGAGUAACAUGGGGGAGCCAAGCACGGUGGCACACCAUUCCUAGAGGGAUGAUUUUUAAAACGAGAAGCAGCAUUUUUGGCAGGCAGAGAUUAUCAAGAAAACAAAAUCCUCCUUGGCAACAGCACUGUGUUCAGUUCUGCUUGUAGAAGGGAAAUAAGGAAGUCAUCAGGACGGUCGCUGAGGAGGCAGAAGGGGACUUCCUCGGAGCACACGAGUUUGAGAGGAAAGCCACCUUCAGGAAAGUCAUAGCAGCAAGAACAGGAAGCAACUGGUCAUAUUGUGUCCAGUCUGGAAGCAGAGAGAGGGUCGAGAUCCGGGGGACAGUCUUCAGCCACUGAGCAGAUGAAGCUGGCACCUCUCCAGAGCAUUGCCCGUGGUCUCUGCAGAUAUACUAUGCAGUGGGCAUCAUGGGCUUCUAGGGCUGCAUCUGGUAAUCUUGAGCAAGUAAUAUAACUGAGUGCUGGUUAUCUGGGGCAGCCUUGGGUGUGGUGGGGAUCCUGACUAAGCUAUUUUUACAUGUCUAAAAGGCUCAUUACCUGGCCCUCUAACCCUAGAGUCCCAGAGUAAAGUUUCAGCUUUACAAUUUGAGUGGGUGGUCUGAUCUCACUGGAACUCCAGAAACUGUUAGUUCUGCCAGGUGAGAACAAGACCACUACUGCAAUUUCUAAGCCAAAUCUGAAACAAGGCUUAUUAAAUAUCAGCCAGGACGAUGGCCACUGGUCAGGUCUAGACCGAGGAUACCCAGAGUAUGUCCUGAACUACUUUAGUCAUAGGCUAAAGGCAAAACAAGACUAUUGACUUCCUGUCUCUGUCCAAUCAGGGUCAGCCAUGCAUCCUAACAUACUUCCUGCCUAUGGGUAAUCAAACGCAUCACGGGCAGUUGGGGCAGGCGAGCUUGUUUGUACUAGUGAAACAUAUGGCUUCACACCAACAGUAACCCCCAGCAUUGCCACAGUUCUCUGUCCUUGGGCAAGUGGGGCUUUCAGGUUGGAGGCAUUUGUGUUUUAUUGAUCUCUUAAGUACAAUAAUUCAAACCUAGAAAUAACUUUAGCCACCACAGGUUAUCUUCUGUCUUCCCAUGGGGCAAGGUGUCAGUCCCAUGCUUGCCUCAUCUUGGAUUUUUCCCUUUAAUUCCACUUGCAGCACCUGUAGCAAAGUAUGUUCUGCUUUGUUUUCAAAUUCCUUGUUAAUAUAAACAUUUGUUUAAAUAGCCCUGUCUCUUGGGUGGAUGGAUUCUCUAGGGUAGGAGAUCUCUAAAGCCCUUGCCCAGAGCCCACAUUCAAGGAUCCUUUGUUAGGAUUCUAGGACAACUCUGAAGAUACCUCAGAGUAAACAGGGAGAUUACCCAGUACAGAGAAGGUGGGAAGGUGUUCAUCUUUUAUCUUGCAAGUGAAGACAGAAGUAACUCCCAGGAUGAAUAGGUAAGAGACUUCCCAUAAAGUUACUUUUUUUUUUUUCCAAACUAAGGACAUAACCAUGACUUCACUGCUGAAUUGCCACCGUUGUAGACAGGUGGACCAGUUUGGAGCAUAAGGAAGAAAUGUUGGAGAAAGUGAACUUCAGUAAAAGAAGCUAGAGUCAGUCACCUCAGUCAGUGGCAGACCGGUGAGCCUCCUUUUGUGAAUUUACAGAGAUGGUGUUUGUUCUUAUUACAAAAAGACAGCCUAAGAUCAUCUUCUGAGAAUCAAAAGAUUUUAUUGCUUUCUAGUGAUGAAGACUUUGGUAUGCAGCCCCGGAUUUGGCCACAGCUCUGAUUUUUCCCUACAGCAAGUCAAGGACCUUUCAUUUAAGAGAGGAAGAGGGAUGUACACAAGUCUCUUUGACAAAUGGGAGUGCAGAAUAUUAAAUAGUUGUUGGAUGUGAAGACAAAGAAGAAGAGAGCUGAUUGGCCCACAGCUGUGGUAAAUGUAGCCAGAAUGGAUUUUGAACAUAUCUGAACAGCAGGGACCAGUCAGCCAGAAGAGGAUCCCUUCUGGUGGGUGUCAAAACCCACAAGACCUUUGUCUUUCAGGAAGGUGAGGAAGAAGCCAGAGGUUUGUCUCCUUUGUUAUCUGUGGUUCUUUUUCCUGUCAUCUGCUGGCCAGGGGUCUCCUCAGUAGUUAGUGUCUAAGGACUUCUGAAAUCCAAAUGACAGAGAAGCAGGCAGAAGUUGUAAGCCAGAGCUCUGCUCAGCAGAUGUAGCAUGACAUCUCUAGGUCAGGUUGGAGAGGAGAUCCUCAGCCUGACUAGCACAAGAAGAAAAGAUUUCACACUGACUGAGCCUCUUUCUUUUUUAAUAUUUAGAAACAAAAUGAUCACCUUUGCUGCCAGGCAGUGCAAAGACUAGUCCAGCCCACCUUUCUUGAAAACCCAUGAUCUGCUUUUCAGGGGGAGAUGAAAGUGCAGGCAUAGACAAUGGAUCUGAAAGCUGCUGGCUUUUGAAUAUUCAUGACUAUUCUAAUGCAAAUGAAUGUUUCCAAUUGAGCUGAGUUUGGCCAGGUGCUGUUGGAAGUGCUUUAAGUUUAUAAUGUUGCUUCUCUGUUCUUUAGAUCUCCUAGAACAACUUCUCUGAGAAGGUUUCCCAGGUGUCCCACCUUGGACUGUAGUUCCUGCCCCUAAAGUUCAAGGGCUCUGGAUCCCCCCAAUCCACAGGACAGCCUGCCCUUGUUUAAUUGGGGCCCAGGUCUGAGAGGCCCUCCUUUGGCCCAGAGCCAGAGAGCCUUAUCACUCACCAGAUUGUGCUUCAACCAAAGCUCACUGCUCCCAGAAUAACAGAGGGGAUGGUGGGGGGUCUGCCAAGGUUAGGAGCACUUGUUUCAGCCCUCUUUGACUCUUGCAACUGUAAAUGGCCUUGGCCUGUAGCCUGAUGCUUUGCUAGGUCCACAGACUAUGCAAGACACACAACCCUGUGAGCUGAUGGUGGUUGCCUUUGGAGGAACACAGUGAGUCUUCAGUCUCUGUGGGUGCUAAGGGAGGAUUUCCCUGUUCAACAGGAUUUGUUGUGAGGGUUUCUGAUCAAAUUCUAGGAGGGGGGAGGGGGAAGGGAAGGGAGACAAGGAAAGUCACUGUUCAGCCAAGGACCUGUUUGGAGGAGUACAGACGCUGGUCCUGACCCAGGUCAGUGAAGGAAGUUUCCACAACUUCCACCAUCUCCCAGGAGCUGGGUGGUCCUCAGGAUCCAUUGGAGUGAAAGAUGCCACUUCUAGGUUUAAAUUGGUCCAGGAUCCUUAUACCACCUAAGGACUCUUGCUGAAGUAUCUCAGGCAUGGCCUAUGAUUCCAUUCCUUGAUUAGUUCUUGAAAUCUAUUCUUACCUCCUAGGCUUUCCAGCAGAACUUUUCACCCUCAAAUACUCUAUGGAAAAGACACUCCUCUCUAUGCCCGAUACAUACUUAUUCAAUGAGAAUCUACCUAUGUUUUAAACAGGUGACUCUAAGAGGUACAGUAGUCUCUGGUCAAUGCGUCUUGGUCUGUCUAUUCAGACUACCCUCCACCCAUAGUCCCCCUCUGCACCGUCAUCACUAGGGCUGCCAUAGCCUUCUCUGGGGUAACCUCACCUCCAAUGCCCUCUCCUCUGGGUUCCAAAGCUGCCAAAGCUAUGUUCACCUGAAUUCAGCCUCCCCAGUUUUCUUCCACGACUACCUGCUGUUUAAUUUAUCCUGGCAUUGUUAACACCUGACUUUCCCUGUGAUGAGUUUUUAGCUGUGGACUAGUUUAUUCUUAAGAAACACAUUGAUUUUCGAGGGCUGGAGCUUCAUUGCAGUUACUUAAGUCCUUCUUCCAUGUUUCCUUUCCAGGACUUCAUAGUUGUGGCCGAGGCCUGAUGUCAGUCAGACAGGCUUUGAUGAGGAUGGUACCCUGGUUCUGGCAGCUACUCAAGGACUUGGGAGAAACCUGUUUGUACCCCAAGCUUCUGGUCAAAUUGAGUGGCCCUCACCUUGAAAUAGACCCUGAAUAUGGCAUAGAUGCCAGGAACCCAGCUCUGUAAACGUUUAUAUGCAGACAAAGUCUCUCCAUGUGCUUUUAAACCAAGGAAGUUUCUACUCAGAAACUUAGAAGGCUGUCAUGAGAGAUUGCCAAGCAAGGACAAUACACAAAGGGAAGCAAGCAGAUUUUACUGAGAAGAAACAUCUCCCUGUAGCCAGAGGGGAGACGUGAAGGUGAGUUACCUAUUCAAGUUACCUAUUUAGCACGCUGAAACGGUUUUUACAUCUUGGGAAUGUGCCAUUGUGGUCCCAUAUGUAAAUUAGGCAUCAAACUCAGAUGAGUCUGAUUGGCUUAUUUGAAUGCACGUGGCAAAGUCUGCUUUGCUGACAAGUCCUGUGAAAGUACAGAGCCUUGGAAAUCGAAAGCUGGAGGUCAGCUGACAUCUUGGAGGGUCAGGGUGUUUGGAUUUUAAUUCUUUGGCUCACCAACUGUGCUGGACAUUUUUAUGUCAACAGCAUAAGUUCCAGCGUUUUUAGAAGAAGAAACCUCAAUUGAGAAAAUGCCCCCAUCAUAUAUGUAGUCAAGCUUAUGCUACAUUUUCUUGAUUGAUGAUUGAUGUGGGAGGGUCCAAUUCUCCUGUUCAGUAUCACCCCUGGGCUGGUAGUCCUGGGUGCUAUAAGAAAGCAGGAAGAGUAACCCAUAAAGAACAGCUGGUAAGGAGCGCUCCUCCAUGGCGUCCGCUUCAGUUCCUGCCUGAGUUCCUGCCCUGACUCUCUGGAUGAUGGACUACAAGCUGUAGCUGAAAUAAAAC